UAAGUACUUCCUCCGUCCCAAAAUUCUUUUCUUAGACAUGUCUAGAUACAGAUGUAUCUAACACUAAAACAUAACUAGAUACAUCCGUAUUUAGACAAAACUAAGACAAGAAUUUUGGGACGGAGGGAAUACUUU
rfam:Triticum aestivum genome assembly, contig: Triticum_aestivum_CS42_TGACv1_scaffold_407196_5BL